AGGAUGAACGCUGGCGGUCUGCUUAACACAUGCAAGUCGAACGGAGUAGAAAUACUUAGUGGCGGACGGGUGAGUAACGCGUGAGAAUCUACCUUCAGGACGGAGACAACAGUUGGAAACGACUGCUAACCCCCGAUGUACUGAAAAGGCAAAUAUUUAUAGCCUGAAGAAGAGCUCGCGUCCGAUUAGCUAGUUGGAGAGGUAAAAGCUCACCAAGGCUGCGAUGGGUAGCUGGUCUGAGAGGACGAUCAGCCACACUGGGACUGAGACACGGCCCAGACUCCUACGGGAGGCAGCAGUGGGAAUCUUGCGCAAUGCGCGAAAGCGUGACGCAGCAACGCCGCGUGGGGGAAGACGGCCUUCGGGUUCGUAAACCCCUUUCGAGGAGGGACGAAGGCAGAGCGGUUAAUAGCCGACUCGGUUGACGGUACCUCCAGAAGAAGCCCGGCUAACUACGUGCCAGCAGCCGC
rnacentral:rRNA from 1 species